GUGCACCAGUCGAGAAACUUCACAAUGUGCGAAAGCACGAUGAGGGAAUCCCAAGUGCUUGCACGUAAGUGUAAGCUGUUUCUCUGUCUAAAACGCAGAGAGAGUAAGGGCUGGGUAAGACGGGUGCCAGCCGCCGCGGUAAUACCUGGCAGCUCGAGUGGUGACCGUUAUUAUUGGGCCUAAAACGUCCGUAGCCGGUUUAAUAAAUGCCUGGGUAAAUCGGACCGCUUAACGGUUCGAAUUCCGGGUAGACUGUUAAACUUGAGACCGGGAGAAGUUAGAGGUACUCCUGGGGUAGAGGUGAAAUUCUGUAAUCCUAGGGGGACCACCAGUGGCGAAGGCGUCUAACUAGAACGGGUCUGACGGUGAGGGACGAAGCCCUGGGGCGCAAACGGGGAUUAGAUACCCCCGUAGU
rnacentral:rRNA from 1 species